UUUUUCUAGUAGUUGUAAUAUAACAGAAAAGACUCAUUUGAAAAUAUAUGCCAUAGACGCUCCAUAGAAAUGCCUUAAUCUAGGUAGUUUUUUAGAGGGAAAGUUAAGGGACCAUAGAACAAAAGCUUGUUAAGAAUACUCAUCACUCAAUAUAUUAUAUAGUAGACACACAGUAAAUGAAUAAGAUUAUAUAUAAAAAAAAAUAACAAAUCACAAUGAAAAACAAUCUUACCAACACAAUUAACUUUCGAACUGAAAUGGGAUGGCUGUAAGGGGUUGCGCUAUCCAAGUUUUGGAUAAGGAAAUCCUUACAGACCAAGCACACUCUCUUACCAGUCCCGCAACAUACGCUUUUCAUGCACAUAAUAGCCAAGCCCCUCCCUCUUUUCCCUAAUGAAUGCAACAAUUCAACAAGUUAAGGGACCAUAAAACAAAAGCUCGUUAAGAGCAUUGUUUGCUUGGAUAGCAAUACAAGAGAUAAAUUUGACUAUUGACACUCAUUAAAAAGGAAAAAAUCCUGUAGUCCAUAAUUUUAAAAUACUUAACACUCAAUAUAUUAUAUAGUAGACAAACAACAAAAGAAUAAGAUCAUAUAUAAAAAAAAUUAAUAAAUCACAAUGAAAAACAAACUUACCAACACAAUUAACUUUCGAACUGAAAUGGGCUGGCUGUAAGGGGUUGCGCUAUCCAAGUUUUGGAUAAGGAAAUCCUUACAGACCAAGCACACUCUCUUACCAGUCCCGCAACAUACGCUUUUCAUGCACAUAAUAGCCAA
rnacentral:lncRNA from 1 species